UCAAAUCAUUCACUAUAGUGUCCUUAUUUAAGUAAUACACAUCAGAAAAUUAUUAUAAUUCCAUUUCUUUAGUAUGUAUACUUUUGUUAUAACUGUAUUACAAAUAUAGGGAUUUUUCUUCCAUACAUGGAAUAAAAGGAAAUUACUCAUGUUGCUAGUGUCCUAAUACAGAUUAUUAAUUAUCAACUUUGGUUAGUGCAGAAUUUUCACCAGAGUUCUUACUAAUGCAUACAUGUACAAAACAAAGUUGAGGCAGCUUGAGCAUUAGCCCAACCCAGGAAGCAGAUGCUGGUGGAUGUCACUUCAGGUUCUUCCUUGUAGCUUGCUAACGUUGAGAGACAGGUAUGAGGUAUAGCUCCUGAAUGCUGUCAUCAUAUCCUGAGUCUGUAGGCCAUCUGUUUAGAUGAAAGUGGGAGAGAAUGUAGUAGCUUCUGACUGUGCCAUCUCUUACCCUAUGAAAGUUGAAGAACAAACUCUGGGAGGGAAGUAAGUAAGGCACUGAGGCCCUCAGGACUCCUGUAGAUUUUUAGUUCUUCUCUUGAACUCUGAAAAAUACUUUCCCUCAACUAACAGGAGAGAGCUAAGCAACACUUUCAUAAAUAAACUGUUAUGAAAUGGUACAUGAUUUAAAGUAUUUUUCCCCCUUUGUGUUGAUUUAAAAUUGAGCAACAUCUCUAGUAACCUCCUGUUAGAAAAUAUAUUAAAUUUAAGACCUCGUAGCCAAGUGCAGUGAUGUGCCCCUGUAGUCUUAGUCACCUGGGAGGCUGCAGCAGGAGGAUCACUUGAACCCAGAAGUUCGAAUCCAGCCUGGGCAGUAAGACCCUAUCUCUUUAAAAAAAACACACACAAAAAAAACUUAGUCUGAUGUUAUCUAGAGAGUAGGGAAGUAAUUUAUUGUGUUAAAUGAAGAUUCAGUUGUGAAAUUGUUACUGCUAAGCAGGUUGGGGGUGGUUGGGGAUAGAGAAUAAGAGAGUUAUGUAUGGCCAUUCUGCUUCUACCAUCACUAGAGUCACACCUAUAUUUUUCUCUGCUCUCCCUUUGAACUAUGUUUUUUCCUUCUUUCUUCCCACUCUUUCACUGUCUAGUUACUGUUUUCCUAAUUGAUAUGUGAUUAACUUUUUUUGAUUGACUACCCAAAUUUGGGAAAGAAGUUGGAAUAGUGAAAUAGGAAUUAGAAUACCCUGUCAAAUCAUGUAAUGUCACUGUGGCUCAGUUAACUUCAUCUGUUACAUGGGGGUGAUGUUAUCCAGCCUUACAGGCUUAUGCAGCUCAAAUGAGAGAAUGUAAAUAAGGUGCUGGAUAAGCCACAAAGCACUAUAGAGAUGUUGCUAAUGAGAGUCAGUGGUUCCAGGCACAUUGAAAUCUACAUUUUAUUUUGUGUGUUGUAUUUGUAACUUAAAAAAAAAAAGUAUCACCGUGCUUAAAUUAUGCUUAUGAAAACUCUCAUCUAGGACAUAAUGAAGGUACUCUGGCAAUGAAAGAAGGUGAAGUUCUCUACAUUAUAGAGGAGGACAAAGGUGAUGGAUGGACAAGAGCUCGGAGACAGAACGGUGAAGAAGGCUACGUUCCCACGUCAUACAUAGAUGUAACCCUAGAGAAAAACAGUAAAGGUUCCUGAAGAGGGUUUCUGAGGAAAUGGGCAAGAUGUUGAAGGAGGUUACAUGCAGCUGCUUUUGGGGGGAGGGUAUUAGAGUUGUCAGGCUCAAAGAGAGUGAGAGAAGCAAGUUGCAUGAGUGCAUGCAGACAUGAUUAUUUUUUACUAACUUCAUUAGCAUUUCCAUACAUUGUUUUAAAAAAUCGUAAUACCAACCCUUAAGUUUCUAGUUCAGUUACUCCCACAAAAGAAAAAGUCAACAAUGGCUUACCAUUUUUCUGUUUAUUUUACUGUUGUCUAAUCAAUAAAGAAUGCAGAGCUCCCAAAAAAUUUGUCUUACAUUAGCUGUCCCAACAGGAUUGUCUCCCUCCCAGCUCUGUUUUAAUUGGCUUUUAGACCCACUGUCUGUCAGAUCCUUGCCAUCUGUCAGUGUCUGCCUGCGCCACCUCCGUGCUUGCUUAACAUCCUGUUGCAUGUCUAGAGUGAUUGGGCUAGAUUUUUCAGGCAUGUCUUUAGAUUCCCUGGUUCUUGUCAAAGCCUCUGUUUUGUUUUACAUUUGUAGUGCAAAUCCCUCUGUCAGACAUCUCCAGCACUAAUGUUUCCAUCCUAGCAUUUGUGUGCACUGCUGUAACUUCCCCACUGCAAACAUUCCAGUUGUGGCAUUACAAAGAAGUAGCUUGUGAACCUGAAGUAUUUAUGAUAAGAAAAAGAAAACAUCUCUGCUCUAGCCUACAGCCCAGUUGAAAGAACUCUUUGAAACGUGAUACAUCUUCAGCACCUCAGUCUGGGAAGAAUCUAUAGUCAGCACUGAAAUCCUGGCAUAAUAAACACAGAAGAUACUCACCACCUCAAGACAAAGGACUAUUGUCAAAAGUCAGCUGCUUCCAUUCAAAUGCUGCCUUAAACUAGAGUGCCUAAAUCUGUUGAUUGCCAACACUACCACUACAGUGUCCCACAAAGGGCUUUAUGUGUCAGCUCAGUGCGACCUCCUUUAACUCUGCAGCACGGCUGCAGCUGCCGAUGUAGCCUCAGUAGGUGGCUAUUGGAGCUCUACUAUGUACAAUGGUGCAUCUUCAAAUUUAUGCAUCAAACUGAAGACAUGUCCAAGUCCAUUUUACUUUGCUCAGUGUUUUUAUGAGAAGUUUUAUGGACCUCCCCCAGCUGUCUUUUUAUUUGGGGUUAUCACAGUCAUGUUUGAUUAUUACAAUGAUAGUCUGUUUCCACGUGAUGCUUUUGUUUGAACCUGAUAAAAUUUAGUGAAACUUUGUAAUUAUCUAUGUGCACUUUUACUUGUAAAAUGGAAUUUCUGUAUGUUUAUACUUGUAAAUAUGAUUGUUGUUAGUGCUCCUGUUGCUCAUGGUGUCCUGCCUCGCAUUUGUGAUUGUUAAUGACUUGUAUCUUAACCAAUUUCUUAGUGGUGUUGUAAUAGGGAGAUGGGAGCGGGUGGGGGGUUGUUUGUACCGCUGAAUCUUCAUUAAUUUGGUUCUUUACUGUUUUGAGGGGAGAAGGAACAUGAAAUGGUUUGUGUAUUAUUGGAUUUUAAGCAAUAUUUUAGAAGCUGUGUGACUGCUUUAAUAACUUUUUCCCAGUAUUAUUUGAAUCAUACUACCAGUUGUACUAAAGCUGAAUGACAAUUGUGUGAAAGUUACUGCCUUCAUAAGAUCAAGUCACCACUGUUACACAGCUGACUUGUAGUGUAUUACCUUUGCAGCUAGUAAACUAUAAAGUUUAGAUAUUGAAUCUCGUUACAGGGUUAUUUAUAUAAUGUGACAUUAUUCAAUGCUGACUACAUGAAGUAGUUUUAAAAUCUAGUGCUAUUUUUAUUUUAAAGGUUAGCAAUGCGGAGGAAAUGUGAUCUGGCUGUGUUUGUCUUCUGUACAAAGCCUGAAGUGCUUAUGGUUUUUUGGCUAACAGCCACAGAGGGCAAAGUUUAAGACUUUCUUGUAAGGACUAACUGUUCUUUUCAAGCUACUGUUUGUUUUUCUAAAAGCAGGAUUUGCUUCCGUAGGAGGCAAGUUCCUUGACGUGGAAUAGUGCAACCUGUAUAUGGGUUAUUAUAAUAGGAAAGACAUUUGUACUUGCACAGUUUAAAUCAUUCUUAAAUUUUGAACAUGUGAAUUGUCCCAAAAAAUCUUUAAUUUUUUGGUAAUUUUUACUCUUUUUGUGCACAUGUUGAUUUCUUAAUGGUAAAUCCUUCAUUUAAAGAUAGUGUUCUCUGUUGAGAAUAUUUUCAUGGAAUAAAACAAUCUUUUCAUGGCCUGUUAA